rnacentral:rRNA from 1 species
AACGCUAGCUACAGGCUUAACACAUGCAAGUCGAGGGGCAGCAUUUCAGUUUGCUUGCAAACUGGAGAUGGCGACCGGCGCACGGGUGAGUAACACGUAUCCAACCUGCCGAUAACUCGGGGAUAGCCUUUCGAAAGAAAGAUUAAUACCCGAUGGUAUAAUCAGACCGCAUGGUCUUGUUAUUAAAGAAUUUCGGUUAUCGAUGGGGAUGCGUUCCAUUAGGCAGUUGGUGAGGUAACGGCUCACCAAACCUUCGAUGGAUAGGGGUUCUGAGAGGAAGGUCCCCCACAUUGGAACUGAGACACGGUCCAAACUCCUACGGGAGGCAGCAGUGAGGAAUAUUGGUCAAUGGGCGCAGGCCUGAACCAGCCAAGUAGCGUGAAGGAUGACUGCCCUAUGGGUUGUAAACUUCUUUUAUAUGGGAAUAAAGUUUUCCACGUGUGGAAUUUUGUAUGUACCAUAUGAAUAAGGAUCGGCUAACUCCGUGCCAGCAGCCGCGGUAAUACGGAGGAUCCGAGCGUUAUCCGGAUUUAUUGGGUUUAAAGGGAGCGUAGGUGGACAGUUAAGUCAGUUGUGAAAGUUUGCGGCUCAACCGUAAAAUUGCAGUUGAUACUGGCUGUCUUGAGUACAGUAGAGGUGGGCGGAAUUCGUGGUGUAGCGGUGAAAUGCUUAGAUAUCACGAAGAACUCCGAUUGCGAAGGCAGCUCACUGGACUGCAACUGACACUGAUGCUCGAAAGUGUGGGUAUCAAACAGGAUUAGAUACCCUGGUAGUCCACACAGUAAACGAUGAAUACUCGCUGUUUGCGAUAUACAGUAAGCGGCCAAGCGAAAGCAUUAAGUAUUCCACCUGGGGAGUACGCCGGCAACGGUGAAACUCAAAGGAAUUGACGGGGGCCCGCACAAGCGGAGGAACAUGUGGUUUAAUUCGAUGAUACGCGAGGAACCUUACCCGGGCUUAAAUUGCAUUUGAAUAUAUUGGAAACAGUAUAGCCGUAAGGCAAAUGUGAAGGUGCUGCAUGGUUGUCGUCAGCUCGUGCCGUGAGGUGUCGGCUUAAGUGCCAUAACGAGCGCAACCCUUAUCUUUAGUUACUAACAGGUCAUGCUGAGGACUCUAGAGAGACUGCCGUCGUAAGAUGUGAGGAAGGUGGGGAUGACGUCAAAUCAGCACGGCCCUUACGUCCGGGGCUACACACGUGUUACAAUGGGGGGUACAGAAGGCAGCUACCUGGUGACAGGAUGCUAAUCCCAAAAGCCUCUCUCAGUUCGGAUCGAAGUCUGCAACCCGACUUCGUGAAGCUGGAUUCGCUAGUAAUCGCGCAUCAGCCAUGGCGCGGUGAAUACGUUCCCGGGCCUUGUACACACCGCCCGUCAAGCCAUGAAAGCCGGGGGUACCUGAAGUACGUAACCGCAAGGAGCGUCCUAGGGUAAAACUGG